UGUGUUUGUAUUUAAUUAUAUCUAUUAGAAUUGGAGCAUUAUCAGUUGAGUUAAGGACUUAAAAUUUGAAUUACCGACCUUUAUGGGUUCAAAAAUCAAAAUUGAGUACUUGGGUAUGUUAAUGGGAAUUUUUGGAAUUAUUUGGGAAAAUUAAUUUGAAAUCUAAUUUUUCUGAUUCGUUGAUGGACGUUGGGUGAUUAAUUUUAUACUGCAAAUUAAAGGCCUUAGAAGCUUCAGAAACCAGAACAGGGGACAUAUUUAUGAUCAGCAUAAUUUUUAGAGUUAUCUGAAAAGUUUAAUUGAGAUUUGAUUUUUCGCGAUUCGUAAGGCCACGUUUGGCUCUCUUUAUUGUGUUAUGUUGGUGUGUGUGUAUAUUUAUAUAUAUUGGGUGCUUUAUGAAUGGGUGGACUCAUUAUUUAGAAUCAAAAUCAAAAAUAUCUAGAGAAAAGGGGGGAGCCACGUGAGAGAGGGGGAAAUUGAGAACUCAACAAGAAGAAAGAUGGAGAAAUUAGAAAGGAUUAAAGAUUGAAGGAUGUAAGGCUUAAGAUCGAGACGAGGACAUUGUACCAUUACCAUCGGGAACCGAUCACUGUAUCCUACCUGAAGGUCAGUCUUAACCUGUGGGAUCCACUCUUUUUGGUGUCAACCCCGGAGAGUCCAGGCACUUAAGUAAAGACAGCCAUUCUAUGGAGUUUUAUUGAGCUUUUGGUUUAUACCUUGAUUACCUACCUAAGGUUGAAGUGUAUAUAAUCCUUUUUCUUUUUACUAUUUUUGUUGUGCCCAAUUAUGGGGGCUGAGUCUAUAUAUGUAUAUGUUUAUAACUAAAUUUUCCGAGGCAUACUACUACGUAUUUGUUUGCAUUAUGUUCAGCUUAUGAUCCUGGCAUAAUUCAGGUCGCUCAAUGGAUAUAGUUUUCUUUUAUAUGUUCGUUUAUAUUGUCAAA